rnacentral:rRNA from 1 species
CUCGCCGGAAGACCAAGGGUUCCUGUCCAACGUUAAUCGGGGCAGGGUGAGUCGACCCCUAAGGCGAGGCCGAAAGGCGUAGUCGAUGGGAAACAGGUUAAUAUUCCUGUACUUGGUGUUACUGCGAAGGGGGGACGGAGAAGGCUAUGUUGGCCGGGCGACGGUUGUCCCGGUUUAAGCGUGUAGGCUGGUUUUCCAGGCAAAUCCGGAAAAUCAAGGCUGAGGCGUGAUGACGAGGCACUACGGUGCUGAAGCAACAAAUGCCCUGCUUCCAGGAAAAGCCUCUAAGCAUCAGGUAACAUCAAAUCGUACCCCAAACCGACACAGGUGGUCAGGUAGAGAAUACCAAGGCGCUUGAG